UAUUCCGAUUUCAGAGAAAGAAAGUUGUUAGGUUAUGUAAUAUUGUUGACAGUUAUUUCUGACAAUAACAAAACCCUGUUUAUCAGCUUUACACUCAAUAUGUAAGAUAUUCGUAAGUGGUUGUGAAGCAAGCAGACAUCAAACAACUAGCCUGCACCCUAAAGACACUUUGACCUGCCAGGAUGGUUUUCCAAGGAUUUUCCUUCUUUGCCAUGGCCAUCGUGGGUGUUGGCGUCCUCGCUUACCAUUUUUACAAAAACAGAGAAGCGUAUUUUUACGAAACCCCCCAGACUUACAACAUUUACAACCCUCCUGAACUCCAAUAUCCAACAAGUGACGACUCCAGCACCCGCAAGAGGAAGGGGGCGAAAAUUGACACCUGUUCAAUUUGCAUGGAGUCUGUUCAAAGUUCUGCCGUCUCUCUGCCACGGGAAUCCCCUUCUUCUGCUAUUUCUCUGCCGUGCAAACAUUUGUUUCACUUCAGGUGUGUCAAAACCUGGCUUGAUAUGAACAAAACUUGUCCAAACUGUCGCGCGUUAGCCAAUGGAUUUUAAAUCAUUGAUAGGUUUGUUAAUUUUCGAAAUUUGUGUAGGGGGUGACAGCUGUACCUGUAUUAGACAACGCACAAAAGCAAGGUGAUAAUUGAGAAAUAACAAAGUCUUGUUUUUGAGUUUGUGAUAUUUAGUUUCACUGGGUUUGUAAUAGUCUCUAAUAGAGUACUGUGUUGACGCGCAAGUUGGAAUUAUUAUUAUUCCUCUCUUGUAGAUUGUGAUAAAGAAAAUCUCGUUUUUUGGUGUGAACUAUUAGGUAAUUUUAUUGUUUCGCCAUUUUGUCACUCGUUUACUUUUUUCUUGUUGAUAACAAUAAAAGGUGUUUACUAAA